UCAUGACGCAGAACAAAUAAGCCCGUGCACCACAACUACAGAAAUUCCGACACUCUGGAGUCUGUGCUCCACAACAAGAGAGGCCACCGCGAUGAGAAACCUGCACACAGCAACUGAAGGGUAGCCCUGCUGUCGGCAGCUAGAGAUGGCCUGUGGGCAGCAAUGAAGACCAGCGCAGCCAAAAGUAAACAUAGAGCCUCCAAAAAUGGAAGUAGUCCAGACUUCUCUAGAACCUGAGAGGCCCCAUCAUCAAGGAACCUUUACUUUUUAAAAUUGAAGAUUCGAACACCAGAAAGCGUGUAUGGUGCUGUGCGCAGCCGCUUUCCCGGGGUCUCCAUCUGCAUCCCCUCAAUCUGGAGCUGGACCUCAGGCCCUGUGACUACAAUCAAAUCCAUGAGCAUCACUGAGUGCCCACGAGCAGAAGAGAGGGACGACAAAGGCAAGAGACUUGUCAUGUGGGAAAUUAGAGCCAAACUAGGCAGACAGGCAGGCGUGUCCACAGAUUAACUCCACGUGGCAAAGUGUUCUCUGUGCUAGCAGAGGAGCAUAGAUCCAAUUA